UUCUCACCCAACCCAGCAGCAGCAACACAAAUGUUUCCCCUUUUUUCUCAAACCAAUACGCAGCAACAGUAGCAGAUCAGAGGAGUGGGGAAGAGAGGAGGGGCGAUGAUGGCUGGGGCCUCACUGCCGCCGCCGUCCAACUCAACGCCGCCGCACCCUACCCGUUUCCCUUCCUCCCCUCAUUCACGCGACACAUAGCAGCAACAGCUGCCAAACGAAGCAAAGAAAGAAAGAGGGAACGGAGUGUGGCAGGGAGAAGAAGGAAAGGAGGAGACGCGUCAGAGCCGCGGGGCCUCACCGCCAUCGUCGCGUUGUGUCGCUGCGUUCCACGCCUUGCCGCCACCAUUGUACACCGAAGGGGGAAAGAGAAAGAGACAUGGAGUCAGCGUCGCGCAGAGAAGGAUUCGCCGCCAACUCCGUCGUCCUCACUGCUUUGCCACCGUGGAGCUCGCAAUCUUGGAGGGAGCACAGCGCCGCCGUGAGUCGUGACCAGAAGAGAGCGAAAGACCAAGAGAGGGGUGUGGAGUCGGUGACGCACAGGGAGGCACUCGCCGCUGCCGUCGCGCGCCGUCGUGUGCUGUCGCUGCUGUUUGAGCAGUCAUCAUCCCCUCCAUUCUACUGCUCUGGUCUGCCGCCGUCACUGCUGGAGAUCCGCUCGAUCUGAUCUGAAGGAAAGAAAGAGGUUCAGGCCGCCACUGCUACUUGCGCUGUGAGCUGCUGCACCGCCACUGUUGGGGGGUCUGCCAUCGGUUCGAUCUGAGGGAGAGGAGAUGCGAUCGGAGGAGCAGGCAUGGGGUUAUCACCGCUGCUGCCAGCUCCUGGGUGCCGUCCAAGUUGCCACUCCGGCCACCCAAAACCCCGCUGUCGUCACCGGAGAACUCUUCUGUUGAUCCAUCGGAGCUUCUAGUCACCGCCGGAGCUGUUGUCGGGCCUGUUCGAAAUCGCAGCUGCUUCGUUUCGCUAGUUCAUGUUGCUAUGGUUAUUGCGAAAGUGGCUGGGAGCCGAGGUUUUGGUUGCCGUCAGUUCGGAUUGAGGCGGAAAGGACUCUGUGAGGCGUUUGGGUUAUGGAAUUGCGUUUUGAGGACAUGGGCGUAGAAGUUACGAAGAGUUUAUUUAGUUAUUGAAAUGUUCUGUAUUGAUGUAAAUUAUUUAUUGUACCCUCAUCUUUAUCUUGAUAUAUUCUGUAAGAGGGAUAUGAAUUGUAUCGGAUUAUGCUUGUAAUAUUACUUAUAUAUAUGUAUGUAUAUAUAUGGAUGUAUUCUUUAUGAGUUUU